GACGAACGCUGGCGGCGUGCUUAACACAUGCAAGUCGAACGGAAAGGCCCCUUUGGGGGUACUCGAGUGGCGAACGGGUGAGUAACACGUGAGUAACCUGCCCUUGACUUCGGGAUAACUUCAGGAAACUGGGGCUAAUACCGGAUAGGAAUCCUUGCUGCAUGGUGGGGGUUGGAAAGCUUCGGCGGUUUUGGAUGGACUCGCGGCUUAUCAGCUUGUUGGUGGGGUAGUGGCUUACCAAGGCUUUGACGGGUAGCCGGCCUGAGAGGGCGACCGGCCAACGGGGGAAGGGGAUAGGGCCAAGGCUCCUAGGGGGGGGAGGAGGGGGGAAAAGUGCAAAAGGGGGGGAAGCGUGAUGCAGCAACGCCGGGGGGGGGAAGAGGGCCUUGGGGUGGGAAACCGCUUUAAGAAGGGGGGAAGCUUUUGGGGCGGUACCGGGAAAAGAAGCACGGGAAAACUGCGU
rnacentral:rRNA from 1 species